GAGAGGUGGAGGCUGUCAUAAAGACUACAGAGAGAGAGAGAGGUGGAGGCUGUCAUAAAGACUACAGAGAGAGGAGAGGUGGAGGCUGUCAUAAAGACUACAGAGAGAGAGAGAGAGGUGGAGGCUGUCAUAAAGACUACAGAGAGAGAGAGAGGUGGAGGCUGUCAUAAAGACUACAGAGAGAGAGAGAGAUGAGGUGGAGGCUGUCAUAAAGACUACAGAGAGAGAGAGAGGAGCGGUGGAGGCUGUCAUAAAGACUACAGAGAGAGAGAGAGGAGAGGUGGAGGCUGUCAUAAAGACUACAGAGAGAGAGAGAGGAGAGGUGGAGGCUGUCAUAAAGACUACAGAGAGGACAGAGGAGAGGUGGAGGCUGUCAUAAAGACUACAGAGAGAGAGGAGAGGUGGAGGCUGUCAUAAAGACUACAGAGAGAGAGGAGAGGUGGAGGCUGUCAUAAAGACUACAGAGAGACAGAGGAGCGGUGGAGGCUGUCAUAAAGACUACAGAGAGAGAGAGGAGAGGUGGAGGCUGUCAUAAAGACUACAGAGAGGACAGAGGAGAGGUGGAGGCUGUCAUAAAGACUACAGAGAGAGAGAGAGGUGGAGGCUGUCAUAAAGACUACAGAGAGAGAGAGAGGUGGAGGCUGUCAUAAAGACUACAGAGAGAGAGAGAGGUGGAGGCUGUCAUAAAGACUACAGAGAGAGAGAGAGGUGGAGGCUGUCAUAAAGACUACAGAGAGAGGAGAGGUGGAGGCUGUCAUAAAGACUACAGAGAGAGAGAGAGAGGUGGAGGCUGUCAUAAAGACUACAGAGAGGACAGAGGAGAGGUGGAGGCUGUCAUAAAGACUACAGAGAGGACAGAGGAGAGGUGGAGGCUGUCAUAAAGACUACAGAGAGAGAGGUGGAGGCUGUCAUAAAGACUACAGAGAGGACAGAGGAGAGGUGGAGGCUGUCAUAAAGACUACAGAGAGAGAGAGAGGAGAGGUGGAGGCUGUCAUAAAGACUACAGAGAGAGGAGAGGGGGAGGCUGUCAUAAAGACUACAGAGAGGACAGAGGAGAGGUGGAGGCUGUCAUAAAGACUACAGAGAGAGAGAGGUGGAGGCUGUCAUAAAGACUACAGAGAGGACAGAGGAGAGGUGGAGGCUGUCAUAAAGACUACAGAGAGAGAGAGAGGAGAGGUGGAGGCUGUCAUAAAGACUACAGAGAGAGAGAGGAGAGGUGGAGGCUGUCAUAAAGACUACAGAGAGAGAGAGAGAGAGGUGGAGGCUGUCAUAAAGACUACAGAGAGACAGAGGAGCGGUGGAGGCUGUCAUAAAGACUACAGAGAGGACAGAGGAGAGGUGGAGGCUGUCAUAAAGACUACAGAGAGGACAGAGGAGAGGACAGAGGAGAGGUGGAGGCUGUCAUAAAGACUACAGAGAGGACAGAGGAGAGGUGGAGGCUGUCAUAAAGACUACAGAGAGGACAGAGGAGAGGUGGAGGCUGUCAUAAAGACUACAGAGAGAGGAGAGGGGGAGGCUGUCAUAAAGACUACAGAGAGGACAGAGGAGAGGUGGAGGCUGUCAUAAAGACUACAGAGAGAGAGAGAGGAGAGGUGGAGGCUGUCAUAAAGACUACAGAGAGAGAGAGGUGGAGGCUGUCAUAAAGACUACAGAGAGAGAGAGAGGAGAGGUGGAGGCUGUCAUAAAGACUACAGAGAGAGAGAGAGGAGAGGUGGAGGCUGUCAUAAAGACUACAGAGAGAGAGGAGAGGUGGAGGCUGUCAUAAAGACUACAGAGAGAGAGAGGUGGAGGCUGUCAUAAAGACUACAGAGAGAGAGAGAGGAGAGGUGGAGGCUGUCAUAAAGACUACAGAGAGAGAGAGAGGAGAGGUGGAGGCUGUCAUAAAGACUACAGAGAGAGAGAGGAGAGGUGGAGGCUGUCAUAAAGACUACAGAGAGAGAGAGAGAGAGAUGAGGGGGAGGCUGUCAUAAAGACUACAGAGAGAGAGAGGGGAGAGGCUGUCAUAAAGACUACAGAGAGAGAGAGAGAGAGGAGAGGCUGUCAUAAAGACUACAGAGAGAGAGAGAGAGAGAGAGAGGAGAGGGGGAGGCUGUCAUAAAGACUACAGAGAGAGAGAGAGAGAGAUGAGGGGGAGGCUGUCAUAAAGACUAGAGAGAGAGAGAGAGAGGAGAGGGGGAGGCUGUCAUAAAGACUACAGAGAGAGAGAGAGAGAGAUGAGGGGGAGGCUGUCAUAAAGACUACAGAGAGAGAGAGAGGAGAGGUGGAGGCUGUCAUAAAGACUACAGAGAGAGAGAGAGAGAGAUGAGGGGGAGGCUGUCAUAAAGACUACAGAGAGAGAGAGAGGAGAGGUGGAGGCUGUCAUAAAGACUACAGAGAGAGAGAGGGGAGAGGCUGUCAUAAAGACUACAGAGAGAGAGAGAGAGAGAGAGAUGAGGGGGAGGCUGUCAUAAAGACUACAGAGAGAGAGAGGGGAGAGGCUGUCAUAAAGACUACAGAGAGAGAGAGAGAGGAGAGGCUGUCAUAAAGACUACAGAGAGAGAGAGAGAGAGAGAGGAGAGGGGGAGGCUGUCAUAAAGACUACAGAGAGAGAGAGAGAGAGAGAUGAGGGGGAGGCUGUCAUAAAGACUAGAGAGAGAGAGAGAGAGGAGAGGGGGAGGCUGUCAUAAAGACUACAGAGAGAGAGAGAGAGAGAGAUGAGGGGGAGGCUGUCAUAAAGACUACAGAGAGAGAGAGGAGAGGUGGAGGCUGUCAUAAAGACUAGAGAGAGAGAGAGAGAGAGAGAGAGAGGAGAGGGGGAGGCUGUCAUAAAGACUACAGAGAGAGAGAGAGAGGAGAGGGGGAGGCUGUCAUGAAGACUACAGAGAGAGAGAGAGAGGAGAGGUGGAGGCUGUCAUAAAGACUACAGAGAGAGAGAGAGGAGAGGUGGAGGCUGUCAUAAAGACUACAGAGAGAGAGAGAGGAGAGGUGGAGGCUGUCAUAAAGACUACAGAGAGAGAGAGGAGAGGUGGAGGCUGUCAUAAAGACUACAGAGAGAGAGAGGAGAGGUGGAGGCUGUCAUAAAGACUACAGAGAGAGAGAGAGGUGGAGGCUGUCAUAAAGACUACAGAGAGAGAGAGGGGAGAGGUGGAGGCUGUCAUAAAGACUACAGAGAGAGAGAGAGGAGAGGUGGAGGCUGUCAUAAAGACUACAGAGAGAGAGAGGAGAGGUGGAGGCUGUCAUAAAGACUACAGAGAGAGAGAGGAGAGGUGGAGGCUGUCAUAAAGACUACAGAGAGAGAGAGAGGAGAGGUGGAGGCUGUCAUAAAGACUACAGAGAGAGGAGAGGUGGAGGCUGUCAUAAAGACUACAGAGAGAGAGGAGAGGUGGAGGCUGUCAUAAAGACUACAGAGAGAGAGAGAGGAGAGGUGGAGGCUGUCAUAAAGACUACAGAGAGAGAGAGAGGAGAGGUGGAGGCUGUCAUAAAGACUACAGAGAGAGAGAGGAGAGGUGGAGGCUGUCAUAAAGACUACAGAGAGAGAGAGGAGAGGUGGAGGCUGUCAAACUGACAGGUCUUCUCUAGACGUACCGUUGGACGAACUGAACAGGUCCAAACCACCUGAUGAGGGGAUCACACAGACAAAGACACAGGAAUCAAGUUAAUGUAG